rnacentral:rRNA from 1 species
GACGAACGCUGGCGGCGUGCUUAACACAUGCGAGUCGAGCGGAAAGGCCACUUCGGUGGUACUCGAGCGGCGAACGGGUGAGUAACACGUGAGUAAUCUGCCCCUGGCUUUGGGAUAGCCACCGGAAACGGUGAUUAAUACCGGAUACGACCACUUCUCGCAUGGGAUGGUGGUGGAAAGUUUUUUCGGCCAGGGAUGUGCUCGCGGCCUAUCAGCUUGAUGGUGAGGUAAUGGCUCACCAUGGCCUCGACGGGUAGCCGGCCUGAGAGGGUAACCGGUCACACUGGGACUGAGAAACGGCCCAGACUCCUACGGGAGGCAGCAGUGGGGAAUAUUGGACAAUGGGCGGAAGCCUGAUCCAGCAACGCCGCGUGAGGGAUGACGGCCUUCGGGUUGUAAACCCCUUUCAGCAGGGACGAAGCGCAAGUGACGGUACCUGCAGAAGAAGCACCGGCCAACUACGUGCCAGCCGCCGCCGUAA